GAUGAACGCUGGCGGCGUGCCUAAUACAUGCAAGUCGAGCGAACAGACGAGGAGCUUGCUCCUCUGACGUUAGCGGCGGACGGGUGAGUAACACGUGGAUAACCUACCUAUAAGACUGGGAUAAAUUCGGGAAACCGGAGCUAAUACCGGAUAAUAUAUUGAACCGCAUGGUUCAAUAGUGAAAGACGGUUUUGCUGUCACUUAUAGAUGGAUCCGCGCCGCAUUAGCUAGUUGGUAAGGUAACGGCUUACCAAGGCAACGAUGCGUAGCCGACCUGAGAGGGUGAUCGGCCACACUGGAACUGAGACACGGUCCAGACUCCUACGGGAGGCAGCAGUAGGGAAUCUUCCGCAAUGGGCGAAAGCCUGACGGAGCAACGCCGCGUGAGUGAUGAAGGUCUUCGGAUCGUAAAACUCUGUUAUUAGGGAAGAACAAAUGUGUAAGUAACUAUGCACGUCUUAACGGUACCUAAUCAGAAAGCCACGGCUAACUACGUG
rnacentral:rRNA from 1 species